ensembl:lncRNA
GCGACACAGGAUGGUCAUAAUGUUUAAUGACAGUGUCAUAAAGGUUAUUUUCUUAGUCCAAGUAAAGCGACACAGGAGGGUCAUAAUGUUUAAUGACAGUGUCAUAAAGGUUAUCUUCUUAGUCCAAGUAAAGCGACACAGGAUGGUCAUAAUGUUUAAUGACAGUGUCAUAUGGGUUAUUUUCUUAGUCCAAGUAAAGCGACACAGGAUGGUCAUAAUGUUUAAUGACAGUGUCAUAAAGGUUAUUUUCUACAAGUUAUUUCGGAUUUAAAAAAAACAUGACUGUAAAGAAUUCAUUGCAACAACAGCAAAGGGCUUAAGAAACAAACUUUCAAACUAAUGGAAACUUCUUGGCAUUGAACAAAAACAAACACAUUUAAUGAAUGUGGGUUUUGACAGUCGUAUGUAGGUGUCAUCACCAGCCAUAAAAUAACACAAUAUAUGUGCAAGAAUAUGGGUCAUGACAGUGUUAUGACCAUAUUAUGACAGGUUAUGACAAGUUAUAUCAGUUGCUAUGACAUAUGAUGACAUGGUUAUGACUGUGUCACCUUUUAUUUCAUGUGUGGCGGUCAAUGUACAGCAUGCUAUUUAUAUCACUGUUCAUGCAUUGGAUUUCCCCAGCAUGCAUCUAAAAAUAGACUGGAAAAAAUAGAGAAAGGAGGAGGGAGGGGGGACCAAAAAUAAAUACAAAGGGGAAGGAAGAGGGAGGGAUGAUGAACGAUUAAAAGAAUAUGUCCUCUUAUUGUUGUUGGUGUUCCAUGAGCUGGCUUGGGGUGUUUGGGUCAAUGAGGCCCACUUGCCCCUCUCUCAAGGGGGCUGUAUUCAAAUGAAGACUUCUUUUUAACAUAUUUCAGAAACAUAUAGAGUUUUUUCUGGUUUUUGAAUCCUAUUUUGUCAUCUUAGAUGUUCUGUUUUUUUCCCUCCAAGUGCUUGAUGAUUCUACUAGCCUGGUCCAAGAUCUGUUUGUUCUGUUUUGCCAACUCCUUUGGUCAUUGUCACCUUAGGAGUUGGGAUGAGAGCACAAAACUGUUCUGUGACCAAGCAAGUUCUGCAGUUCCCAAUCCCCUUGUUCUAAUGCAUUGGUGCCAUAGCAGUAAACAGUUAUACUCAAGUACAGCAAACAGGGAGUUACCCAUUAUUAUAAACUGGGUGGUUCGAGCCCUGAAUGCUGAUUGGCUGAAAGCUGUGAAAGCUGAAAGCUGUAUAUCAGACCAUAUACCACAGGUAUGACAAAACAUGUAUUCUUACUGUUAUAAUUAUGUUUGUAACCAGUUUAUAAUAACAAUAAGGCACCUCAUUGGUUUGUGUUUUA